AUUGUGUAUGUCUCUUCUGUAGGGAGACGUUCUUCCCAGAGAUCCAACCUUGAGUUUAUGAAAAGUUGGCAGAUGUUAGUAUAAGAUACGGCAUCCUUCCACCUCUCUUCCCAGGCACCAAUGCCUUGCCUUGAGACACACAGAAAACAAUCUUUAUUGCCAUAUACUUUCACUCAAGUUUCAGAGUGGUAGCCGUGUUAGUC